rnacentral:rRNA from 1 species
AGCAGCCGCGGUAAUUCCAGCUCCAAUAGCGUAUAUUAAAGUUGUUGCAGUUAAAAAGCUCGUAGUUGAAUUUCGGGAUCAAGUCGUCGGUCGUGCUUAGGUACGUACUGGCGUCAUUGAUUUCUCCCUUCUGACGAACCAUGAUGUCAUUAAUUUGGUGUUAUGGGAAAUCAGGACUGUUACUUUGAAAAAUUAGAGUGUUUAAAGCAGGCUCACGCUUGAAUACAUUAGCAUGGAAUAAUGAAAUAGGACGUUCGAUCCUAUUUUGUUGGUUUUAGGAUCAACGUAAUGGUUAAUAGGGAUAGUUGGGGGCAUUAGUAUUCAAUUGUCAGAGGUGAAAUUCUUGGAUUUAUUGAAGACUAACUACUGCGAAAGCAUUUGCCAAGGAUGUUUUCAUUAAUCAAGAGCGAAAGUUAGGGGAUCGAAGACGAUCAGAUACCGUCGUAGUCU